rnacentral:snRNA from 1 species
GGGCGUGAGGGUGAUCUGUUACCCCACCAAUUGCCACGAUUGAUUUAGCUGAUCUGGCUGGAUAGGCAGGUGUCUCCUUCCUCCCUCAGCACCUUAUCCCGAAGCUCAGUGGGGAGAGGACAACCUUCCCAGACAGAGAUGCACCCGUUGCUCUUCGGUCCAGAGUAUAGGAGUAGCUGUGCUCCCCUGCUAGAACCUCAAAGCAAGCUCUCUAUCAGUUGGCAUGGUUAUCCGGAAAGCUGUGCUAAGGAUUCUGAAGUCUUACUUGAACAUUCAAGGAAAGAAUUC